AACGAACGCUGGCGGCAUGCCUAACACAUGCAAGUCGAACGAGACCUUCGGGUCUAGUGGCGCACGGGUGCGUAACGCGUGGGAAUCUGCCCUUAGGUACGGAAUAACUCAGGGAAACUUGAGCUAAUACCGUAUAAUGACUUCGGUCCAAAGAUUUAUCGCCUAAGGAUGAGCCCGCGUCGGAUUAGCUAGUUGGUGAGGUAAAAGCUCACCAAGGCGACGAUCCGUAGCUGGCUGAGAGGAUGAUCAGCCACACUGGGACUGAGACACGGCCCAGACUCCUACGGGAGGCAGCAGUGGGGAAGU
rnacentral:rRNA from 1 species